UCACCCACAAAGUUUCAGUUUGAUCUGGUGUAGUAUUUUUCUGUUCUGCUCUGCGGAAAUUGGGUACUUAACUGAAAAUACUAUAAGAUGAGCAGAUCCAUCCACUUGUUGGUAUUUUUCCGGCAGAGACAAAACGAUCUGCAGACUAGACUCCUGUAAUGCAGAAUCAACCAGUCUCUCAAUCCUGGAGCUGUUUGUCCAACAGUGAAGACCCAAGACCAGACUUCAGAGUGAACAGGAACUCUCCUGCAGUCUUCCUGAACCUCCUUGAUCAGGAUCGGUGACAUCGAUCAUCCUCCUGCAGGUGCUGGAGGUGCAUCACACCUCUGUACCUCAUGUUGUCACAGCGUGUUCCAUCCUCCACAACAUCUGCCUCUGUGGUGACGACACCAAGGCCCCAGAGGAAGAUGAGGAGGUGAUGAUGAGGAAGCUGGUUUGGAGAUCACAGUGAUGCUCUCUGACAGGAUCAACUACCGGCUGAGGUUUCUGCCCUGGGGGAGGUACAACCUUGAUUACUGGUAACAGCAUCCGUCCACAGCCAGCCCUGCAAACCCUGAAGAUGGACGAUACAGUCUACAGUGAAGAUGAUCCUGAAACUCUCUGCAGACCACCUUGCAAGAUGUUCCAUCACCACCCAGAAAGUUCCAGCCCGGGUCUCAGUUGAAGCCCCCCCAUCCAUGUCGACUAUCUUUGUAAAUAGUUGAAAAUAAAAGUUACAAUUAAUCCAUGACAAUCACUGUGUUUGAUUUA